rnacentral:rRNA from 1 species
UACGGGGGGGCAAGCGUUGUUCGGAAUUCUGGGCGUAAAGGGCGUCGUAGGCGGCCAACUCAGUCGGACGUGAAAAUCCCUCGGCUUAACCGGGGAACUGCGUCCGAUACUGGAUGGCUUGAGUGUGGGAGAGGGAUGCGGAAUUCCAGGUGUAGCGGUGAAAUGCGUAGAUAAUCUGGAGGAACGCCGGUGGCGAAGGCGGCAUCCUGGACUACUACUGACGCUGAGGAGCGAAAGCCAGGGGAGGCAAAACGGG